GUGGACCCCUUACGGAACCACCAAGUGUAUCAUUUGCAAGCAACAAGUCCACCAAGAUGGUUGAUAUUGACAUACUGUUUCUUUUUGUACAGGAGUUUGUGCAAUGUGCGGCAAACAAGUGAUCGACACGAAGUUAUACAAGCAAAGCAAUGUAUGAUUGUCAUGGGUACUUUGUUAUUCUAAUUGCAAAGGUCUUCCUCAUUGGGCUUGCAUCUGUAAAUUAGUACAAUCUAUGUUUUUCUUAAUGGUCUUGAAUGGUUGUAUGAGCCGUAAUUCUUUUAUGGCCAUUGCCCUGUGAGCAUCAGUUACAGUUUCUGCUAAGAGGUUUGGAUGGGCAUUGUUUUAUCGGAUAUAAGAAGGUCAUUGAUACUGUGCUUGGAUGCACAAGCGAAUUGAAUCAGGAAAGAUCAGCUUAAUCAAAAUAGGAAAUUACUAAUGAUGUUUCUCAUUUGAGGAAGUAGCUCUCAAAUGGUGGUUAUGUUUCUUUCAGUUCUAACUUAUGCAAUUUGAAGCUCAGUCUCUGUA